ACAUAAAUGGAGGUCGCGUAAAUAUGAGACACUAGUUGUUUGGCUGCUAGCUGCAUCUGCCUGUGUACUUCCACGGGAAUUACGAAGGAAUUUUUUUUCUUUUUUUCUUAAGAUAUUUAACAUGAACCACGGUCGUAAAUGCAGUGUUCCAGGCUGUACGGGGAAUGCUGACACUUUUCAUAGUCUUCCUAAAGAACCAAACACUAGACGGGCAUGGCUGAUGUUUGUGUAUAAGAUCCCUGUGAAGAUCGACAGUCAAUUGGAGCUAUUCAUUUGCUCGAACCAUUUCACAAAGGACAGUUUUGAAAACCAUGGACAAUUUAAAGCAGGAUUUGCUAAAAUGCUGUUGCUGAAAAGAGGUGUUGUUCCGACCAUAUGGUCAUCGCAAGCUAGUACAUCACAUGAACGACACACAAAAGACGCAGCAUGCCAAACAGAUGCUCCAAGUGUGGCAUCUCGCGCGACACAACUGUCUCAUAAGACAUUGGGACCUCACCUACGAAGCAAAGGUAUACAGACUACAGUGCCAUGCCAAAGUGUGGCAGUAGGCACAACGGCUCCUUCAGUGUCUCGGCCAUCAUCUUCGAGGCCAGCAAAGAGACCUCGCCUUGAAUCGGAGGAGGAGGAAGAUGUUUACUCUGCAGUCACCAAUCUUCAAGAUUCCACAUCCGAUCCUGCACAGUCUGUUACCACGGAGACAGAAUCGUCUCAGCUUUCGUAAGCAAAGUUCAUCGUAUUGGACACGUCCUAUAAGAAAACCCCAGCACCAGCUCACACAAGGCCAAGUGUCUGCAUCACCUGCAAAGAGAACAGGGUGGAAAGGCACACUUUUUUUCUUUUUUUUUUGUACAAUUUGUUUUUAAAAUCUUUUACAUUUCAGAGUAUAACACUGGAUGAUUGUGUUGAAACAAAAUAAAGUUUGUCAUUUUGUUGUCUUGA